rnacentral:rRNA from 1 species
GCGGUAAUACCAGCUCUCCGAGUGGUAGGGACGAUUAUUGGGCUUAAAGCGUCCGUAGCCGGCUUAGCAAGUCUCCUGUUAAAUUCAGCGACUCAAUCGUUGAGCCGCGGGAGAUACUACUAGGCUAGGAGGCGGGAGAGGUCGACGGUAUUCCCGGGGGAGGGGUGAAAUCCUAUAAUCCCGG